rnacentral:rRNA from 1 species
GACGAACGCUGGCGGCGUGCUUAACACAUGCAAGUCGAACGGAAAGGCCCUGCUUUUGUGGGGUGCUCGAGUGGCGAACGGGUGAGUAACACGUGAGUAACCUGCCCUUGACUUUGGGAUAACUUCAGGAAACUGGGGCUAAUACCGGAUAGGAGCUCCUGCUGCAUGGUGGGGGUUGGAAAGUUUCGGCGGUUGGGGAUGGACUCGCGGCUUAUCAGCUUGUUGGUGGGGUAGUGGCUUACCAAGGCUUUGACGGGUAGCCGGCCUGAGAGGGUGACCGGCCACAUUGGGACUGAGAUACGGCCCAGACUCCUACGGGAGGCAGCAGUGGGGAAUAUUGUACAAUGGGCGGAAGCCUGAUGCAGCAACGCCGCGUGCGGGAUGACGGCCUUCGGGUUGUAAACCGCUUUCGCCUGUGACGAAGCGUGAGUGACGGUAAUGGGUAAAGAAGCACCGGCUAACUACGUGCCAGCAGCCGCGGUGAUACGUAGGGUGCGAGCGUUGUCCGGAUUUAUUGGGCGUAAAGGGCUCGUAGGUGGUUGAUCGCGUCGGAAGUGUAAUCUUGGGGCUUAACCCUGAGCGUGCUUUCGAUACGGGUUGACUUGAGGAAGGUAGGGGAGAAUGGAAUUCCUGGUGGAGCGGUGGAAUGCGCAGAUAUCAGGAGGAACACCAGUGGCGAAGGCGGUUCUCUGGGCCUUUCCUGACGCUGAGGAGCGAAAGCGUGGGGAGCGAACAGGCUUAGAUACCCUGGUAGUCCACGCUGUAAACGGUGGGUACUAGGUGUGGGGUCCAUUCCACGGGUUCCGUGCCGUAGCUAACGCUUUAAGUACCCCGCCUGGGGAGUACGGCCGCAAGGCUAAAACUCAAAGGAAUUGACGGGGCCCCGCACAAGCGGCGGAGCAUGCGGAUUAAUUCGAUGCAACGCGUAGAACCUUACCUGGGUUUGACAUGGAUCGGGAGUGCUCAGAGAUGGGUGUGCCUCUUUUGGGGUCGGUUCACAGGUGGUGCAUGGCUGUCGUCAGCUCGUGUCGUGAGAUGUUGGGUUAAGUCCCGCAACGAGCGCAACCCUUGUUCACUGUUGCCAGCACGUUAUGGUGGGGACUCAGUGGAGACCGCCGGGGUCAACUCGGAGGAAGGUGGGGAUGACGUCAAGUCAUCAUGCCCCUUAUGUCCAGGGCUUCACGCAUGCUACAAUGGCUGGUACAGAGAAUGGCGAGCCUGUAAGGGUGAGUGAAUCUCGGAAAGCCGGUCUCAGUUCGGAUUGGGGUCUGCAACUCGACCUCAUGAAGUCGGAGUCGCUAGUAAUCGCAGAUCAGCAACGCUGCGGUGAAUACGUUCCCGGGGCUUGUACACACCGCCCGUCAAGUCAUGAAAGUUGGUAACACCCGAGGCCGGUGGCCUAACCGUUGUGGGGGAGCCGUCGAAGGUGGGACUGGUGAUUAGGACUAAGUCGUAACAAGGUAGCCGUACCGGAAGG